rnacentral:lncRNA from 1 species
UUUUUUUUGUUUUUAGGGUGAACUAAAUAAGCCCAAAAUGGCUUUAUUUGCUGGUCUAGCCCCGUGCGCGGUCCCAGUUUCGAAGCAACGAAAUACCACUAGUGUGAAGGACCUGCCGCCAAUACAACAGCGUGGCACACGUCGGUUCACCAGAUGCCGACGCUGCCGCCUGCAGACUCCAGUUUCAGGGCUGGCCUCUUAACAGCUUACACCUACCACUACCACUAGAGAAUUCUUCAGGCGCGCGACGGCUCCAUCCAGCUGACUCCAAUUGGUCAGCAGAUUCGGGUUUGGCAGAGCCACCGCCACCACCAACCUGCGGGGUCAGACUUUGUGGAUCCAGAUUUGAUAUUUUGUUCUCUGUAAAGAUUUCAAUUGACAUUUUGCUCUUUAAUUAAUAAUAUUAAUCGUGUACAGUUUUGGAUUGUGCGACCAACAGAAUGGCAAUGUGAAUCCAAAGGAAAAUGUGCUCAGUUUUACUACGUUUGGAAAGUACUCUGUUUCUGUGAACAGAGAUAUAAAAUGUACGGAGUACGGAUUUCUCUGUUUCUAAACACAAUCUGUUUCUAACAACGGCGAGACUUGAACCGGAAUAUUCCAAAUUUCCUACACAAGCUGGGCACAACAAUGAGGUUUCGUUAAGAAACUUUAUUUGUAGAAAUAACAGUAAAUAAUUAUUCCACAUGCUCACGAGAUAUGAGAUGACAUAACGGUAGCAUAAACUAUAUGACUCGUUGUUUCUAUUUAAAAAAUAAUGAAUCCAAUUCCAAUCACAGGGCAUGUCGGCCUUGCAUGCCCCUGCACCACAAUUAUACAUCUUUCUUUUCUUGGCCUAGGCGCCUAUCUCUAGACCUCGGAAAAAAAAUAAUGACCGCCUCGAUUCCAUCCGUGACGAACUGAUGAAGAGGCAAAACUACUCUACAUACUCCCUGAUCUGCAACCUAUCCUGUGGUUAGCUUCAGUUCAGACGCAGAAAAAAAAAAGCCUAUUAUCGCCAUCGUUCAUGCAACCGGCUAGCUGCUACGAUUUCUAAUUGCAGCAGUGCGAGGGAGGGUUGGAUCCAGACGGCUUCUUGUCGCCGAACAUGUCCACAACCAUUUCGAUGGCGCCUUCUCCCUUGAACGGCCUCGCAGAGACGGUGAGGACGUUGAUGAUUUGGAUCAAGAAGACGAGCAGCAGCACCACCUUUGACAUCCACAUGGCCGCCAUGAACGUCGUCGAUCGUGCAGUCAGGGAUGACGUACGUGAUCCAAGCGGCAAGCUGGAGAAGAUCGACGAGACCAAGGGUGUGUGAGAUGCCUAGCUAGGGUUACUCCUGCGGAAAAGCUGGAUGCCUCGUUGUUCGUUAAGGUUCUUGUUGUUGGAGCUUGGCCUUGGAUGUGUGUGUUGUUUGAUGGGUGCAUUUGUUGCAUGCCGCGGGGCUGUGCUUAUAUAGGUGAGGGUUUGUUGGUGCACGGGGCGCGAGCCUCGUCGCACUUGGGGCCCUUGACUGGUGCAUAGGCGCAUACGUGUAGCCCCUCGCUGCCGUGUAGGAAACGGUCGCUGUUUUCCGAGUCUCGCCCUCGUACUUUUCGCCGGGCAGGUUCUAACCUCUUGACCUCGGCUCGGCAGGGCAGGCAGCUAAACUAGUUAUUAUGCAGCUGCUCUGCUCCUCCUCUAUAUGAAUGGUCGGUCAGCACCUUUGAUCUUCCGAAUCAAA